rnacentral:lncRNA from 1 species
UCUUGGAUGUGGUUCCUCUAGCCUCAGUCAAGCCUUCAGAUGCCUGCAACCCCUGCCAGCAUCCUCACUGCAACUUGAUGAGUGAUCACCCAGCUAAGCCACUGCUGGAUUUGUAACCCACAGAAACUGGGAGCAGGGCAUCGCAUGGCCUCGACGGGGAUUACCCAUAGGAGAGAUGAGUUUUGCUGAGAACGCCUGAGUGAGCAUGGAGCAGAGCUCCGUGAGCACCUGCACCCAGCUGGGAGGUUUUCUGCAUAGUUGAGCCGACUGCCUUUGAACCACUCGGGGACAUCUGCGAUUCCUUUCGAUGUGUCCACAACCUAUAGAGAAUGACAACAAACCAAGACGCACACACAUGAGACUACGCUACAGAUCAGCAAAACAUGAGACUAUGUCACAAAUCAGCAAAAGUGGUUCUUCUUCCCAGGAAGCCAGCUCACUCAUUGGCCCAGAGCAUUUUUAAAUCAUUUUAUGGACUGAACUCUGAACUGGCCUAAAAGCUAGAAACUGAAAGUAGGGAUUAAUGCCAACGGAAAACAACCAUCCCCAGUAACAUAUGUGUUCCACAAAUACUCAUUAAACACCUACUCAGUGAGAGAUCCUAAAGACAAAGACGACACCCAACACGUCAGGCUCUGCCCAGACGCAUGGAAACCAGGAGAGCAAGCU